rnacentral:rRNA from 1 species
GUGAGGAAUAUUGGUCAAUGGGCGAGAGCCUGAACCAGCCAAGUCGCGUGAAGGAAGAAGGAUCUAUGGUUUGUAAACUUCUUUUGCAGGGGAAUAAAGUGCGGGACGUGUCCUGUUUUGUAUGUACCCUGAGAAUAAGGAUCGGCUAACUCCGUGCCAGCAGCCGCGGUAAUACGGAGGAUCCGAGCGUUAUCCGGAUUUAUUGGGUUUAAAGGGUGCGUAGGUGGUUUGAUAAGUCAGCGGUGAAAGUUUGCGGCUUAACUGUAAAAAUGCCGUUGAAACUGUCGGACUUGAGUGUAAAUGAGGUAGGCGGAAUGCGUGGUGUAGCGGUGAAAUGCAUAGAUAUCACGCAGAACUCCGAUUGCGAAGGCAGCUUACUAAGCUACAACUGACACUGAAGCACGAAAGCGUGGGGAUCAAACAGGAUUAGAUACCCUAGUAGUCC